CUUGAGCAUCUAGCUGAUGGCCAGGCACGGCUAAAAACAGCUGACGGGCAUACGUUGGAAGUUGACAUUGACCCAAGAACGAUUGGCCUUGUUCAUGGGAAUUCUGGAGUCCCUGUACUACUCCAGGUAUCACCUGAUGGAAUGUUACUCCAGAGAGAUGAUGUGCAAAUAGCAUUGGCAGCAUCAGGUGCAGCGGCUGAAAACUCCACUGACACCACAGAGGAACAGCGAGAAGACGCUGGAAGCUCUACACCUUGUGAAGAUUCUGAACCCAUGUUUCAAGGUUGCUGCACUUGCUUACUGGGACAUGGAAGAGGGAUAAUGCUGAGCAUCUGCCUCUACGAAUGUACUUCGAGGUUGCCAAGGAAACAGCUGACGAAAA